rnacentral:tRNA from 2 species
GGGCCCGUAGUUUAGCCUGGAUAGAAUGCGGGGCUUCGGACCCCGUGGUCGAGGGUUCAAAUCCCUCCGGGCUCGCCA